CACACACACACACACACACACACACACACACAGCCCCUGUCUCAGUAACUGAAACAUUCACCAUCCAAGGUUCACCAUCCAACAUUCAGCAUUUGUUCAUGAAGAUUAAAUCAUCUCCCCUGAAAACCACUGUUUUCAGAACAGGCCCCUGGGGGAGAGGCAAUUCGGGAGCUGGAGAAGAAACUGUCUGCCUGUUUCGGCUCAACACCUUGUACACCUGGGCCACAGCUUGAGUUAAUUUUAAUGGCCAGGAGAGGGAAGACACAGGAUGUGGAGGACAGAGGCCUACAUUUGAAUUCUGGAGACCUGAGUCUACAAUGAACUCUAGAGCCUGGAGGAAACCGCUUGUUCUUUAUCUUCUCAUCUGUAAAAACUGAAAACUGGGCUUGCAAUUCAGAUACCUGCCACUAGAGAUGCAGUGUAGCCUCCAAAACUUGUAAACCAAAUCACAGACUCCUUCUGAUGCCACCUGGAUAAAUCGGGUUUGCAAACAUCAGGAAAGCAAUCUUCUGAAACCAUCCCGAUCUUGGCCUUCCCAUCCUGGUGUUUAUGUCACUGAAAAGACAGCAGACAGCAUGACUCUUCUGGAGCUUCCGGAGCAGCCGGAAGAGCAGCCGGGUAACCAAGCUGGGCCUUCCCGGAGUUGUCUCUCCGUGCAGGUAAUCAGUUCCAGUAGCAGAUGUAGCAAAAAGGAGUCAUGCCACCACACACCUGAAUGUCGAUAAAUGACCAUGCAUGAAAGCAUGAAGUGGGAUACUGUCCAGUCCUGGAGAAAGGAAACCUGAAGCACAGGCCAAGGUACAAGACUUUCAAAAGCAGAAUUCACCAGUUUACUUAAUUCUUAUGGACAUACACAUGAACACACAUGCUGCCGUGAUGCCAAUCUUACUGUCCAAACACGAUCUUCCAAGGUUCCAAAUACUUACCCUGCUGUGUCCCAGACAUCUUGACCAAAACCAGGCCCUGCCUUGCUAGAGCCAAGAGUCCAGUUGGGGAAAACUAAUCCUUACCUCCAGUUCACACCAACAGCUCGGUGAUCACACCCGGUGAGAAGUACAACCAGGAAAGGCCCAGGGGUUCACCGAAGAGUGAGUGGUGUGACUGCUAAUCUUGAUUGUCAGCCGAAUUGGACUGAGGGAUGCCUAGGGGGAUGGUAUGACACCCUCCUGGGCGAGUCUUAGUUGGUCUAAUCCAAUGGUGGCUUACAAUUGCAGUAGAUUGUUGGGAGGCGGCAAUGGAACCUGAGGUCAUUGGGACAGAGGUGACCAGGGUUAUGUCCUUCAGGGCUAUGACUUGUAGCUCCUUCACUGACCUUUGAAUCAGCUCUUCCCCCACAAACUCUGCUGUCACAAGGGUCGGCCUCAGCCAAUGGAGCAGCCAACAGACUCAAACCACAAGUCAGGUAAAUUCCUCCUUUCUUUAAGCCACUCACUUGGUCACAGUGACAAUAAAAGCAACAAGGUAAUGUGUCAGUGUACAACGAUCACCAAGAGCUGAUUGUUUAAUUUCCAGCAAGGUUGCAAGAGUCAGUUGUUUGCAAACUUUAAAUGGGCUUACCACUAAGUCAUUUAAAAAUAAAACAAAACAAGAACAAAUAUUUAGAACUCAUUGCUACCUAGCUGAUGAUGGUACCGUUUAUGCCUCAGAGGGGUUUUGCUCUUUUUUUUGCCCGGGUGGGUGACAGAAAUCUAACAUGACAAAUUCCUGUUUCCUCUUCCCCGCUCCAUUGGCCAUCAUGCUGGUAGCUCCAAGUUGGCCACAGUGGAUGUGCUUACACCACAGGUAAGCAGCGAAGCUGGCUAUGGAUGGGAGCUAUUUCUGUCCCGAAGAGCUGAGGGUGAAAUGUUUUCGAGCAUAGCACCACCUGGGGCCAAUUAACAGGGAGCUGGGGUUAGACUGGAAACAAGAGAACUCCACAGGAAGAGGAAGAGCGGCCGCUACCAAUCAUCAUCUCCUCUCCUCAUUCUCAUCUUGCUUUUGAAGCAUAGGCAUUGUUCUGUCAUGGCAACCACUGGCUCAACUAUACAAUUACACAUCCCAGCUUCCUUGACACUCCCCCUGACACACACACACAUACACACACACACGCACACACAAGGGCUCACGCCCCACAGGUUAAGAACUGCUGUACUAAGACAUAAUCGUUGUCUUGAGGAGUGACUUUUGAGUGUAUCUGACAGGAACAGGCAGGGCUUCACAGAGUCCGAUGAACAGGAUAUCUAGUUUAUGCUAACGGAGCAGGUGGACAGUGUUAACUCUCGGAUUCCUGGGCCUUGAGCUCUUGACAUUCCCUGCUUCCAAAUGCCUGGGCUUUACCAGAUGAAAGGGAAGACCCUGCUGGGAGGGGUCUUGCAAAGGCAGGGGCAGUAUUGUGUCUCUGCAGGCGUUAGUCAGUCUACAGUAUGCAGGAGCGCUGUGGGCUUCUGCCUGGCAGGCUACAGAAUGGAGCCAAUCUGGUGCCUAAAAUGAAGCCCUUUCUUCCAGCCUCUCCCGAUUGUACUCCAUGAAUAGCUUUCAAAUCUUGUCCACAUUCUCGGGUCCUGGGUAGAGGAGCUAGCUCUCUCGUGCCUG
rnacentral:sRNA from 1 species